GACGAACGCUGGCGGCGUGCUUAACACAUGCAAGUCGAACGGAAAGGCCCUGCUUUUGUGGGGUGCUCGAGUGGUGAACGGGUGAGUAACACGUGAGUAACCUGCCCUUGACUUUGGGAUAACUUCAGGAAACUGGGGCUAAUACCGGAUAGGAGCUCCUGCUGCAUGGUGGGGGUUGGAAAGUUUCGGCGGUUGGGGAUGGACUCGCGGCUUAUCAGCUUGUUGGUUGGGUAGUGGCUUACCAAGGCUUUGACGGGUAGCCGGCCUGAGAGGGUGACCGGCCACAUUGGGACUGGGAUACGGCCCAGACUCCUACGGGAGGCAACAGUGGGGAAUAUUGCACUAUGGGCUGAAGCCUGAUGCAGCAACGCCGCGUGCGGGAUGACGGCCUUCGGGUUGUAAACCGCUUUCGCCUGUGACGAAGCGUGAGUGACGGUAAUGGGUAAAGAAGCACCGGCUAACUACGUG
rnacentral:rRNA from 1 species